rnacentral:rRNA from 1 species
AUGUGGCACAAGACCGGCAAUACCUUGCCGGUGAUGGUCAACGGCCGGCAGAUGGGGGGCAAGAAGGUUCUAGUGCUGCACACCAACAAGAACUUCGACCAGCAGAGGACCAACUGGGUGAUGCACCAGUACCACCUCGGGGACCUGGAGCAAGAGAAGGAGCGGGAGCUGUACUACCUUGUUGUCCGCAAGUUGGUAUUGUUGUUAACGAUCUUUCGGUCGAGCAAGUUUCAACUGGGCUCUAGACUGCCCAGUCUUGGUUUUGUUUUUAACAGGCCCAGCCCAUGA